CCCCGCGUCCCCUCCGGAGGCGCCCGCGGCGGACGCCGAGUUCACCGACCAGGACCGUAGUGCCUUUCAGAUCAUGUUUUAAAACCUUCCACGCCUGGCGUUGGGAACGCAGCCGCGGCUUGGUGGUGGAUAGCAAGAGGCAAAGGCAUAGCUCUGUACGCCUGGUAGAGAGCGCAGAGGAUGAGCCCGGAAAGAUGCAGCUCAGAGGAUGAGCCCGGAAAGAUGCGCUCGAUUGUAGGAGCUGGGGCAGGAAGGGCCCGCUGCCCUCGCCCGGGAGCCUAGCCUUGCGGGUGCCUGGACUUCGCGGCCCUGCAUCCCCCCUGCCGUCCCCACACUGCAAAGACCACAAGCUUCUGAGGGGAGGAACCAGCCAUUCGAAUUUUCUCAGGUUCCUCCUCCCCCUCCGCCACCGGGGCCUACGAAAUGCAUCUUGAGACUCCUGCAGAAACAGAAACACCAACCCUGAGGAAGAGGACAGUCAAUGUACUAGGAUCCUAGUGGGUCAUGAGGACACCAGGGAAAUCCGGACUUUGACAUUCAAAAUGUAUCUCCAGGGCCGCCUGGGGGGCUCAGUGGUUGAGCACCUGCCUUCAGCCCAGGGCGUGACCCCGGGGUCCCAGGAUCGAGUCCUGCAUUGGGCUCCCCGCAUGGAGCCUGCUUCUC